GGGCCCAGGACACGAGGGAGGGUGGCCCUCAAGGACCAGCCGUGCUGUCCAGGCCAGCCUCCAGAGUGGCUCCAAUGCCUGUCAUCCACGGGCCCACUUAAUCCCCCAGCCCUGGGCCCUGGCUUACUUCCUUGAGGAUAAGCAGCAGGGGGAGCCAUGCCCUCCGCCCCCCCAGAGCUCC